GUUCUAAUUGAUUUUGUAUUAGAUCAGGCCUGCCCAGUGAAAAAUUUUUAACGGCCGCGGUAUUUUGACCGUGCAAAGGUAGCAUAAUCAUUAGUCUUUUAAUAGAAGGCUGGAAUGAAAGGUUUAACGAAAAAUUGACUGUCUCAAUUAUACACUUAAAUUUAUCUUUUAAGUUAAAAGACUUAAAUGUUAUUGGAGGACGAGAAGACCCUAUAGAGCUUUACAAUUAUUUUUUUUUUGAUUUAAUAAGUUUAUGAUUUGGUUAUAUUAAAUUAAUUGUUUUGUUGGGGUGACAGUAAAUAAAUAUAUAACUUUUAUUAUUUAAUUUUCAUUAAUUUAUGAAUUUUAGAUCCAAAAAUUUUGAUCAUUAGACUAAGUUACCUUAGGGAUAACAGCGUAAUUUUCUCUUGGAGUUCUUAUUUGCGAGAAAGAUUGCGACCUCGAUGUUGGAUUAAGAUAAUAAUUUGGUGCAGUAGCUAAAUUGAUAGGUCUGUUCGACCUUUAAAUUCUUACAUGAUCUGAGUUCARACCGG
rnacentral:rRNA from 1 species